GAGCCCGGGCACAAAGAGCCCUCUGCACUCGCGCCGCAGAACGGCGGACCCGAGUGACAGCUGGACGCAUCUCCCUGCUCACCCAUGGGGUUCCAGACAUGUUGACAUGACCACCACGACCCUAGGGCAUCAAAGGACCAACCAAGGUUUGCCUUUUCUGGACAUUUCACGUACAUGGAGUCAGACAGCAUGUGGUCUCUUGUACAUGGC